rnacentral:rRNA from 1 species
UCUAGAGGUCAUAGCAAGAGGGCCACACCUGUUCCCGUUCCGAACACAGUAGUUAAGCCUCUUCGCGCCGAUGGUACUCGGACGGUAUGUCCCGGGAGAGUAGGUCGCCUCUAGAU